rnacentral:rRNA from 13 species
AUGAAGAGUUUGAUCCUGGCUCAGGAUGAACGCUAGCGGCAGGCCUAAUACAUGCAAGUCGAGGGGCAGCACGGUUUUCGGACUGGUGGCGACCGGCGCACGGGUGCGUAACGCGUAUGCAAUCUACCUUAUACUGGAGGAUAGCCCGAGGAAACUCGGAUUAAUACUCCAUAGUAUCACGAAAUGGCAUCGUUUUGUGAUUAAAGAUUUAUUGGUAUAAGAUGAGCAUGCGUCUGAUUAGUUAGUUGGUAAGGUAACGGCUUACCAAGACGAUGAUCAGUAGGGGUUCUGAGAGGAUGAUCCCCCACACUGGCACUGAGAUACGGGCCAGACUCCUACGGGAGGCAGCAGUAGGGAAUAUUGGUCAAUGGGCGAGAGCCUGAACCAGCCAUGCCGCGUGCAGGAUGACGGCCUUCUGGGUUGUAAACUGCUUUUAUAUGGGAAGAAAAAGGUCUUGCGAGACAAAUUGCCGGUACCAUAUGAAUAAGCACCGGCUAACUCCGUGCCAGCAGCCGCGGUAAUAC